CACACACACACACACACACACACACACACACACACACACUCACACCCGCGCUCUGCAGACUGCAGAGGAGUGGAGUAACUUACCGAAGGUGACACCGCUGGAGCGCAGCGGAGCUCAAACUCCCUGCCAGAAUGGAGCCAGCAGCCAUUUCACACAGCUGUGAGGCCCUGAGAAGGCACCCAGCCAGCUGCCCGGCACAAGUCCUUCCCCCACGUGGGUGGGGCCCUGUCUUCCCUGCUUUCCUGGGCUCUACACAGAACUGGAAUGUGCUGAGCUGCGGUCUACCUCCGGAGUGUGGAGUAGCAGAGGGCUGGACACUGAGAUGGGUCUGCGAGCACCCUCAAGUAUGCCAGCAGCCUGCCUGAACCUUUCUACACCUCUGCCAUCAGCCCCAAGCGGUCCAGGCACAGCAGAGUCGGAGCCCUCCUCAAUCCUUCACAAGCCUCUACAUCCCAACUCUCAAGGCCUGUUCCUUCCCUUCCCAGUUGGUCUGCAAGAAGCCCAAGAGUGACUGAGGCUAGACUCUGUCCUCAAGGCACUCCUCCCUUCCAGCUUCCUAACAGCAUUCUGGUAAGAAAAUGUUGCCUUGGGAGAGGUUUGCUGGAUAGGGCUAGCUACAGGUUAAAGCGUACGACCUUGAUUCUGGAAACUGAGGCGGCACCAGAGAGGCGCUGUACUUCUCCAGGGAGAGGGACAUUGCAGGUCCUGGGACCCAGGAAGUACUCCAGAUGGUAUGUGUCUUCCUUGUUCUAGUGCCAGCUCUUUUCACCCCCUCCCUGCAUCACCUCACCCCACCCCACCCAGGCCUCAAGCAAGAGCCGCCACCGCUGUCUUCUAGAGUGCCAGAAUCAUUCCUGGCAUCUUUGGGGGGGAACUGAUUUACCUCUGUAAGGAGCAGAUCAAUAAAAGCAUAAAGACAGGCAAGACCAGCCCAACCGUCUCCCUGACAUAAUCAGAAGUGGAACUAUAGUCCAUUACCUGGCCACUUGUUUUGACCCAGCUUCUUCGUGUCCCCUCCUGAGACUUCCCCUGACAAGAGGAGCAGUGGGGUAUAGACACCCACAGUCUCACCAAUGCCUUUAAGAUUGCCAGUGACAUUCCCAUCCUAUAUUCUGAGACCCUGGAGUCGCUGUGCCAGCAGCAGCGGGAGGCAUGUAACCUGUCCACUAACUCCCCGGGCAUAGCAAUGCUGGAACCCCAAGUCAGUUCAGCAGUUCAAACAGAACCAUCUGAAAACCCGGCCCACCUCUUGUGUUACUUGAAGCAAUCAAGCAACCCCCAGACCUGAGUUCACCUGGAAGGCAACUGAUGAUCCCACACGGAGCUGAUUUCCCAGCCGCCCAUGCCCCACCCCUGCCUCAGUAAUUAGGAGAAACUCAGGCUGUCAACUUCUUAUGCAAGUAGACAAGGCCACCAAAGUGUACACAGUCCAGGAGUGACGGCAGUCUUCGCUCCACACAGAUCACAAGGCAGAGGCCUGUAGCAACCCUAACAGACUCUUCCAGAACAGCCAGCUGGAACACGGGGUACACAAAGGUAAGGGGGUCUCCUCCUCUAACAUCCUCUCUUCCUGAGCACUCGUCUUUCUCCACAGGCAAAGAAGGGACGGAGUCUAGACACUUGAGUCCCACUGGAGUUAGCCCAUCUACCACCACACUGCCUUCUCCACGAGACAGCCGAAGGCAGAGGGCUGACUCUGGGCCGGGCUUGUGAACAAGUAUGUGCAGGACCAGAAGUUAACAUGAACAAGGUUCACAGAGGCUUUGAUCAGGACUACGGGGGGAGGGUCCCUGUGGGGAACCACACCUUACUCCCCCUGUGUUCCAAAGAAAUCCAUGGCCAUGCCUUUAAGAAUGAGUU